UCCGGAUGUCAAGUAUCAUUGCUAGAUGGUCACUUCGAUUAGUACUGAAAUUAGUUUUUAUACGACCAGCUUAGUGUUCGAACCUAUGGAGUCAUGCACAUUGUCGAGAGAUGUGGAAAAGGGCUUGACCUAUGAUCUAUAUGUUCAAUUUGAAACUAGGUGACUUGAUUGAACAAAUAGACUGACUUAAUUGAGAAUUAAGGUUCUAGGUCAUAUAGAA
rnacentral:lncRNA from 1 species